rnacentral:rRNA from 1 species
AGUGAACGCUGGCGGUAGGCCUAACACGUGCAAGUCGAACGGCAGCACAGUAAGAGCUUGCUCUUACGGGUGGCGAGUGGCGGACGGGUGAGGAAUACAUCGGAAUCUACUUUUUCGUGGGUGACAACGUAGGGAAACUUACGCUAAUACCGCAUACGACCUACGGGUGAAAGCAGGGGACCUUCGGACCUCGCGCGAUUGAAUGAGCGGAUGUCGGAUUAGCUAGUUGGCGGGGUAAAGGCCCACCAAGGCGACGAUCCGUAGCUGGUCUGAGAGGAUGAUCAGCCACACUGGAACUGAGACACGGUCCAGACUCCUACGGGAGGCAGCAGUGGGGAAUAUUGGACAAUGGGCGCAAGCCUGAUCCAGCCAUGCCGCGUGGGUGAAGAAGGCCUUCGGGUUGUAAAGCCCUUUUGUUGGGGAAGAAAAGCAGUAGGUUAAUACCCCGCUGUUCUGACGGUACCCAAAGAAUAAGCACCGGCUAACUUCGUG